AUUGAACGCUGGCGGCAGGCCUAACACAUGCAAGUCGAGCGGAAGAAGGGAGCUUGCUCCUGGAUUCAGCGGUGGACGGGGGAGUAAUGCCCAGGAAUCUGCCCGGAAGCGGGGGAUAACGUCCGGAAACGGGCGCUAAUAUCGCAUACGACCAGAGGUAGAAAGUGGGGGAUCUUCGGACCUCACGCUAUCAUGUGAGCCUAGGUCGGAUUAGCUAGUUGGUGGGGUAAAGGGCUACCAAGGCGACGAUCCGUAACUGGUCUGAGAGGAUGAUCAGUCACCCUGGAACUGAGACACGGUCCCGACUCCUACGGGAGGCCGCAGUGGGGAAUCUUACGCGAUGGGCGAAUGCCUGAUCCAGCCAUGCCGCGUGUGUGAUGAAGGUCUUCGGCUUGUAAAGCACUUUAAGUUGGGAGGAAGUGCAGUAAGUUUACCCGUUGCUAUUUUGACGGUACCAACAGAAUAAGCACCGGCUAACUUCGUG
rnacentral:rRNA from 1 species